rnacentral:rRNA from 1 species
GACGAACGCUGGCGGUGUGCUUAACACAUGCAAGUCGAACGGUAAGGCCCUUUCGGGGGUACACGAGUGGCGAACGGGUGAGUAACACGUGAGUAACCUGCCCUCAUCUCUGGGAUAACAGUCGGAAACGGUUGCUAAUACUGGAUAUGAGCCUGCAAGGCAUCUUGUGGGUUGGAAAGAUUUUUUGGUUGGGGAUGGACUCGCGGCCUAUCAGCUUGUUGGUGAGGUAGUGGCUCACCAAGGCUUCGACGGGUAGCCGGCCUGAGAGGGCGACCGGCCACAGUGGGACUGAGAUACGGCCCAAACUCCUACGGGAGGCAGCAGUGGGGAAUAUUGCACAAUGGACGGAAGUCUGAUGCAGCAACGCCGCGUGCGGGAUGACGGCCUUCGGGUUGUAAACCGCUUUCAAUUGUGACGAAGCUUUUUGUGACGGUAGCAGUAGAAGAAGCACCGGCUAACUACGUG